rnacentral:rRNA from 1 species
UACGUAGGGAGCAAGCGUUGUCCGGAAUCAUUGGGCGUAAAGCGCGCGUAGGCGGCUCCGCAAGUCGGCCGUGAAAUCUCCAGGCUCAACUUGGAGGGGUCGGGCGAGACUGCGGAGCUCGAGGUGGGCAGAGGGCAGUGGAAUUCCGGGUGUAGUGGUGGAAUGCGUAGAGAUCCGGAGGAACACCAGUGGCGAAGGCGGCUGCCUGGGCCUGGCCUGACGCUGAGGCGCGAAAGCGUGGGGAGCGAUCCGG